AACCUAGCACACCUGCGGUGUGUACCUGCGGAAGGAUCAUUACCUAGAGUUGUAGGCUUUGCCUGCUAUCUCUUACCCAUGUCUUUUGAGUACCUUACGUUUCCUCGGUGGGUUCGCCCGCCGGUUGGACAAAACUUAAACCCUUUGUAGUUGCAAUCAGCGUCUGAAAAAACUUAAUAGUUACAACUUUCAGCAACGGAUCU
rnacentral:misc_RNA from 1 species